rnacentral:lncRNA from 1 species
CUCAAAGGGACAGAGGAAGAAAUCUGGGGGAGCAGACUGCUGAAAAACCACUGUGCUAAAAAACCCCUAAAAAUCAGGAUUUUCCCUUAUGGACUGAAAGAAGCCCUAUUAAAAUCCUAUCUUCUGGAAAGCGUCAGAGAGGCAGGAGCGUAGAUGUCUGCUUCCUGAGGAAGUAUUUUUAGCUUCUGAAUGAAACAAGUCACGGACAAAAAAAAAAGAUAUGGUGGAUCUGCUCAUCCUCACAAGCUGGCAGGCUCAGGGCCUGAGUCAUGUUCCCCAAACCCUCCAGCACGUGGAGAUGACGCUCGGGGUCACGGAUGAGCUGCCUUUCCCUGUGUCCCAGCCUACACUCCAUGCGAAACCACGCUGGAAAAUCCAGGAUGCGUUGGGAUGAGGGUUUCCAAGGAAAAUUUCCACCUCCUGAGCAGAACGAGGAAGGAGCUCACUGUGGCCACACAAGAUCUGAAACCAAGGGGGUGUUUUGGGUCCUUCCUGGUGAGGAUCUUCACCUUUUUCAGAUGUCAAGAAGCCACCAAGGUGUCUUCCAAAGCAACGUAUCAGCGAGCUGA